CAGCAGUACAGUUUAUGAAGCAAUAUCCUCCUAUCCACUGCAGAAUGCAGCAAUCUACUGCACUGUUGCAUACUUGCGUUACAGUAGCCUUGGCUAUGUGGACAUAGCCUUGGUUAUUAGAAGCUGUAGACUGGAGCACAGAGGAAUGGGACAACACUGAGAAAGUGGGGACAACAGUAUUUCAUCAAAAAGAAGCUCAUUUCCUUCCAGGAGCAGACCACACAGAAAACAUGGACACGGAUUACUUUAUCAGGUCCUGCUGUCACCCAAAGGCUCAUCCCUGCAGAGCUCAGGGGUCUGGCUUCAUGACUCGGCUUUAAACGGACGCUCAGCUUUCCUAGGAAAAACUGUGAUCCUGAACUAAUUUUCUGUACCACUGCACUCCACUCCUUGAACUUCUGAACUGGGGUCCCAAGACAAGAUGCUACAUAGAAAUAGUUUAAGAGACUGAUUUCUUCUAAAAAUUUGAAAGAUGGCAG
ensembl:lncRNA